rnacentral:rRNA from 1 species
UACGUAGGGGCUAGCGUUAUCCGGAUUUAUUGGGCGUAAAGAGCGCGCAGGUGGUUGAUUAAGUCUGAUGUGAAAGCCCACGGCUUAACCGUGGAGGGUCAUUGGAAACUGGUCGACUUGAGUGCAGAAGAGGGAAGUGGAAUUCCAUGUGUAGCGGUGAAAUGCGUAGAGAUAUGGAGGAACACCAGUGGCGAAGGCGGCUUCCUGGUCUGUAACUGACACUGAGGCGCGAAAGCGUGGGGAGCAAACAGGAUUAGAUACCCCGGUAGU